GGAAUGAAUGGUUGGACG
rnacentral:sRNA from 1 species